AGGGAAUAUUGCGCAAUGGACGGAAGUCUGACGCAGCGACGCCGCGUGAGUGAUGAAGGUCUUCGGAUCGUAAAGCUCUGUCCUUGGGGAAGAAGGUCUUCGGACUUGACGGUACCCAAGAAGAAAGCCCCGGCUAACUACGUGCCAGCAGCCGCGGUAAUACGUAGGGGGCGAGCGUUGUCCGGAAUUACUGGGCGUAAAGGGUGCGUAGGCGGCCGAUCAAGUCAGGUGUGAAAAAUCAGGGCUUAACCCUGAUCGUGCACUUGAAACUGGUUGGCUUGAGUGCAGGAGAGGAAAGUGGAAUUCCCAGUGUAGCGGUGAAAUGCGUAGAUAUUGGGAGGAACACCAGUGGCGAAGGCGACUACCUGGACGAUAACUGACGCUGAGGCACGAAAGCUAGGGGAGCAAACA
rnacentral:rRNA from 1 species